AGGACUUCAAGACCGACCUGCGCU
rnacentral:piRNA from 2 species